GCGGGGGUCGCCAAGCCAGGUCAAAGGCGCAGGGCUUAGGACCCUGUCCCGAAGGGGUUCGUGGGUUCAAAUCCCACCCCCCGCA
rnacentral:tRNA from 1 species